rnacentral:lncRNA from 1 species
CGAGCGACUGCACCGGAAGAAGUGCACCCAGUAUGCUUAAUGACUAUCAUGGCUGCGCAGACGGAGCAGCCUCUUCUAGUCCUUCACACCUAUGUGCUCUAGCCUCUCCCCAAGGCUGCAGGAGACUGAGAAGAAUACAUACCACUGGUUCAGAAGGGUGACUAGAUAUUCAGAGUAAUGUGACCCAUCCUGAUUGUCACAGAUAUAGAAGGUUUUGAGGCACAAGGGCACAAAGGGACUUUCAACUUUUCCAAGAGCUCUCCUCCACAGCCUCUUAAUGACCCCUCUGUCCACCUGCACUCACAUACUGCUGCUGACGGAUACUGAAGUGAACUUCCUAAGGAACUCUGCUCACACACCAAUUUAGAAAUCUCCAGGGAUUCUCGUUAAUGUCAAGAUUAAAUGCAUGUCCUCAACAGAAUGCAGUCGCGUAGGACAUCUUGAACCCUGAGACCCUGCCCUCCUGCCUUUUCAAUGUUGGUACCCAGCAGUCCUCCACAGCCACAUGUUUUACUCAGAUGUGGACAUCACUGCUUUGCACGGUAUAUCACAGCAGUCCCUCGUCAGUUCUAUGGCAACACACCA